GAACUGUGUAUGCAUGGUUAAGGUUUUGCAUCGGUGUGCCAUUCCAGCUGUGGUCCACAAAACUAAAUUGUCAAUUUGUGAGACUUGAUAAAAAUUCGUUGAUAGCAAGAUUUGUUUUUGUUUAGUCUUUUCAGAUAUCCUGCUGUGCUUAGAUGACCUGACACACAGAGCACCGCACGAGACUGACGGGAACAUUAAUUUUCUGAAGAAUUUUUUGGAGGCACCCCAAGUCUCAUCUCUAUUAGAGGUAAGGUAUUUGACUCAAACAUUUGUUAUGCAGUGCAUCCUAAGUAAUGUAAGUCUCAACGACUCACGAACUCAAUACUGAAUCUCAUGAACUCAAUACUGAAUCGAAUGAACUCAAUACUGAAUGCAAACAUAUAUUCUUCAUGUGCCCAGCAGAGCUGGCUGUUUGAGCUGCGCACCUCGACGUGCGGCCUGACUCAUUCCACGCACCUCGUUUGUUUUGAAAGUAAACAAAUGCCCUCAAGGCCUGCAGGUCAUAUGCAUUUUUUAUGCGCGUGGGAUAAAUCGCUUGCAAUUAAAAUGUAUAGAUCGCUUAUAUAUUGGGCGCUGCAACGCCAGUAAUUUCGUUGAUCGACAUGUGAGGCAGCUACUGCCUUGAGCGAGCAUAUGUCGUGCAAGAAAUCAAACAAAAACACUUUUUGACGGGUUUUGGCGAUAUUUGCUCUUUAUGUUACAUGUGAGAAAAAAACUAAUCAUACUGUAUAUAUAAUAUUAGAGAGGUUCAGAUUUGAUUUUUACUACCACUACCGCUAUGCCCCUCACAGGCUCAAUACGUAUUGAUUGUUUAAUUGGGCAAAUUAAUUGGUUAGAUGUAACGGUUGCAGCAGUGGAAGUCAAAAUCUGAACCUCUCUAUUAACGUCAGUUGUGCGACCUCAAAACAUUAAAAAAGCAUGCUUUUAGAGAUAGAGGAAAUCACUUAAUGCAUAGUCUGUCAAGAUAUAUGAUGGCCUGGAAACUCGGCAAACUUCAAAGCUACAAAAUAGAAGUCCUUUGUUUAAUGUUGAACUGUCCCUCGCCGUGCACAAAUUCUUUGUCUCAACUUCAUUACAUAUUAUUCAUGGUAGUUGCACGGUUCAUCUCAGCUAUCCCUAUUGGACGAUCACUUCAUUUUACGAAAAUACAAUGAGCUCAAUCACCGUGACCAUGCACAAAUUAACAUAAACUCAUGCAGACAAUUUCCAGACCAUCGUGUAGUAUUUGAAAUCCGACUAUGAGGACUGCCGGACUACAUUUCAAUUUUCAAGUUCGCGCAAUUUGGUCAAAUCCAAGGCGAAGCUGAGGACUGGAUCAAAAUGCGAAAACUUGGAAUCUAGUCCAGUCAGAAUUGGAGGAUUUGAAAUCAGGCCUUAAAAUAUCUUUUACAGGGCCGUCUGACAAAACGUCCGAUGACGUUGAGUUUGGGUCGGACAUAUGUCCGAUGACCUUCAGUUCACUUUUGACUCGGAAAUAAGUCUGAAUAUUAAUUAUGAACGAUAAAUGUUGUGAAGAUAUUAAAUAAUUUGUUUCUUUCAUACUUAUUUCCAAGCCAAAAUUAACUUGCUUUCCAGAACAGCAGUUUUAAAAAAGACUUCGACAACUUAAGCCCGUUUUCCACUUCACCAUUUCGGUCGCCGCCCCGCGCUCGACUACGUUAAAACAACAUUCCCAGUUCACCUUUUACACAAUAGUACUUUGAUUUUCCAUUUAACAUACAAGCCUCUAGUCCUGGGCUAGGAUACAUUUUGAUUUAUGUCGGACAAAGCUACAGUUCGGUCGGACACAAAUACACUCGGGUCGGACAAACAAUAAACCUCAGUUUCACUUAGGUCGGACAGAAUGUCCGGUGGUUUCCUCUCUACGUCGGACAAUUUCACGAAUGGGUCGGACAAUGUCCGUGACCGACCGAUAUUUUAAGGCCUGGUCAAAUGACAUCUCAUACGAAUAGAUCACUAUGCUUAAAGUCCAGUCAAAGGAUUGAAUUAAUUUCGAACCAGUCCUAGGAUUGGAUCAAUAUAGUUCACCUGCAGGUAUCCAGUCUUAUCAUGAAAACAAAAUAAAGCAAUAUGGUUGGCUAAUUUACUCAUGAAUUAUCAAAAAGUUUGAGAUAUGCUGAUAGAAUGUGCUGUAUAGUGGCAAGGUGCUUAGGCUAGUGUUAGCAAACCAUCUUAAUCCAAUUGAUAAGGGAGCUUCAAUGUGUAGACUGACAUUCAACCAAUUUACACUGCCCGAAUUGCCAUAAGUCAUGUUUGGAACGAUUUAUUCAUGUGCCGAUUCUAACAGAUUAUGUAUAUUUAUAUUUUUCUUGUAUUUCUGUGCUGUACAUAUUUACUGUACAGUAUACUCAUUACUCACUAUGCUGUUUGAAACUCGAGUAGCUUUGUUAUUAAAAUAGCCUGCCGGCCCUGCCCUUUAUUUAAAGGAAUACUGUAGACAUUAAAAUAGCCUGCCAGCGAAAUCAUUUAAAAUUCCUCAUGUACAUUGGAUUUAAGAUUUCCUGCAAGAUUUCGCGAUAUUGUUGGAGUCAAAAUCGUAUAUCAUGCACACACUCAAUACAAUCGGCAUAUUACCAGCUGUCUUCUGAAUAAAGGAAACAAUUGACUUGAUGUUACAUGACAGUAUGUACUUCUUUGUAGAUUUAUGGAAAAUUGGAAAAUCAAAGCAAGUUUCUCUUGAACUUCACGCCACAUGCCCAGGACCUAAUAUACGAU